GAUGAACGCUGGCGGCGUGCCUAAUACAUGCAAGUCGAGCGAACGGACGAGAAGCUUGCUUUUCUGAUGUUAGCGGCGGACGGGUGAGUAACACGUGGAUAACCUACCUAUAAGACUGGGAUAACUUCGGGAAACCGGAGCUAAUACCGGAUAAUAUUUUGAACCGCAUGGUUCAAAAGUGAAAGACGGUCUUGCUGUCACUUAUAGAUGGACCCGCGCUGCAUUAGCUAGUUGGUAAGGUAACGGCUUACCAAGGCAACGAUGCAUAGCCGACCUGAGAGGGUGAUCGGCCCAACUGAAACUGAGACCCGGCCCAGCCCCCACCGGGAGGCAGAGGUGGGAAUUCUGCCGCAAUGGGCGAAGGCCUGACGGAGCAACGCGGCGUGGGUAAUGAAGGUCUUCGGAUCGUAAAACUCUGUUAUGAGAGAAGAACAUAUGUGUAAGUAACUGUGCUCAUCUGGACGUAACCAAAGAAGAAAGCCACGGCUAAUUCCGU
rnacentral:rRNA from 1 species